rnacentral:rRNA from 1 species
GGCUUGUUGAUUAUAAUUUCAAGUCUGACCUGCCCAAUGAAUUAUAUUAAAUGGCCGCGGUAUACUGACCGUGCAAAGGUAGCAUAAUCAUUAGUUUUUUAAUUGAAGGCUUGAAUGAAAGGUUUGAUGAAAAAGUUUCUGUCUCUGGAAAAAUUUAUUAGAAUUUUAUUUUUAAGUAAAAAAGCUUAAAUAAAUAUAGAAGACGAGAAGACCCUAUAGAGUUUGAUAAUUUCACAUAAAAUUAUGUUUUAGGUUUGUAAGGUAUUGUUUUAUGAAUAAUUAUUUUGUUGGGGUGAUAGGAAAAUUAAUUUAACUUUUCUUAAUAAAUACAUUUAUUUAUGAAUUUAUGAUCCUAAAGUUUAGAUUAUAAGAUUAAAUUACCUUAGGGAUAACAGCGUUAUUUUUUUUAGAGUUCUUAUCGAAAAAAAAGUUUGCGACCUCGAUGUUGGAUUAAAAUUUAUUAUUGGUGUAGAAGCUAAUAAAUUAGGUCUGUUCGACCUUUAAAAUUUUACAUGAUCUGAGUUUAAACCGGUGUGAG